GGGCCCGCACAAGCGGUGGAGCAUGUGGUUUAAUUCGAUGCAACGCGAAGAACCUUACCUGGCCUUGACAUCCUGAGAACUUUCUAGAGAUAGAUUGGUGCCUUCGGGAACUCAGUGACAGGUGCUGCAUGGCUGUCGUCAGCUCGUGUCGUGAGAUGUUGGGUUAAGUCCCGCAACGAGCGCAACCCUUGUCCUUAGUUGCCAGCACGUAAUGGUGGGAACUCUAAGGAGACUGCCGGUGACAAACCGGAGGAAGGUGGGGAUGACGUCAAGUCAUCAUGGCCCCUUACGGCCAGGGCUACACACGUGCUACAAUGGUAGGUACAGAGGGUUGCCAACCCCGCGAGGGGAGCUAA
rnacentral:rRNA from 1 species